UAUUGUGUCCUUUCGCACUUAUAGAAGAAGUUUUUUAGACAACAUCAUGAUCAGUCACCAUGCUCCCAUCCACAAUGCCGACAAGGUUGAGUAGAUUGAAGAUGCUUUGCUGGUGGUGAGGGUUUGGUGUGAUGGGGGGGUUUCUUAUCAGUACAAACAAGGCCAAGGUUGGUUAUUCUUCUCUUUGGAUGUUGCUGAGUAAGAAUAUGGGUGAUGCAUUUAUGCCGAGCUAAAAUGAGGCCUUCAGCUAACAGUGUGUUCUCAAGGGCUCCAGCAUAAAUGUUGGGCU
rnacentral:lncRNA from 1 species